UAACGCGUGGGCAACCUGCCCCAUAGAGGGGGACAACAGCUGGAAACGGCUGCUAAUACCGCAUAACAAGGAGAGAGCGCAUGUUCUUUUCUUCAAAGAUUUAUCGCUAUGGGAUGGACCCGCGUCUGAUUAGCUGGUUGGUGAGGUAACGGCUCACCAAGGCGACGAUCAGUAGCCGGCUUGAGAGAGUGGACGGCCACAUUGGGACUGAGACACGGCCCAGACUCCUACGGAAGGCAGCAG
rnacentral:rRNA from 1 species